rnacentral:rRNA from 1 species
ACUCCUACGGGAGGCAGCAGUGGGGAAUAUUGGACAAUGGGGGAAACCCUGAUCCAGCCAUGCCGCGUGUGUGAAGAAGGCCUUCGGGUUGUAAAGCACUUUCAGUGGGGAGGAAAGGUUGAUGGUUUAAAUACCUNUCAGACUGGUGGCACGUUUACCCACAUGAAAGAAGCACCGGCUAACUCCGUGCCAGCAGCCGCGGUAAUACGGAGGGUGCAAGCGUUAAUCGGAAUUACUGGGCGUAAAGCGUGCGCAGGCGGUCUGUUAAGCGAGAUGUGAAAGCCCCGGGCUCAACCUGGGAACUGCAUUUCGAACUGGCAGA